rnacentral:rRNA from 1 species
AUAUUACUAAGGGGAGGAAAAGAAACUAACAAGGAUUCCCCUAGUAACGGCGAGUGAAGCGGCAAUAGCUCAAAUUUGAAAUCUGGCCUUUGGCCCGAGUUGUAAUUUGAAGAGGAUGCUUUUGGUGCGGCGCCUUCUGAGUUCCCUGGAACGGGGCGCCAUAGAGGGUGAGACGCCCCGUAUGGACGGAUGCCUAGCCUGUGUGAAUCUCCUUCGACGAGUCGAGUAGUUUGGGAAUGCUGCUCAAAAUGGGAGGUAAAUUCCUUCUAAAGCUAAAUAUUGGCCAGAGACCGAUAGCGCACAAGUA